rnacentral:siRNA from 1 species
UAACUGAAAAAGCGGAGGUGUCA